UACGUAGGGUGCAGGCGUUAAUCGGAAUUACUGGGCGUAAAGCGUGCGCCGGCGGUCUUUUAAGUCAGAUGUGAAAUCCCCGGGCUUAACCUGGGAACUGCGUUUGAAACUGGAAGGCUUGAGUGUGGCAGAGGGGGGUGGAAUUCCACGUGUAGCAGUGAAAUGCGUAGAGAUGUGGAGGAACACCGAUGGCGAAGGCAGCCCCCUGGGCUAACACUGACGCUCAUGCACGAAAGCGUGGGGAGCAAACAGG
rnacentral:rRNA from 1 species